AACAAAGCCUCUAAUUACGCAUAUGAAGAAGGUGACAACGUGAAGGCAACUUGUAAAGCUUUUAGCGAUAGUCUGCCGCACUUUCAGUGGGCUGUCGUCGAAGGAGAAAAUGCAACUGUACGUGUCCUGGAUCCCAACUUGAGCGAAGACGAAUGUAUAUGGAAAGGUGGAGAUGAACGAUAUCAUGGUGUGCAUAUUCUCUUCAUUAACGUAACCAGAAAAGACGAAUGGUACUAUUAUUGUGUCGUUGGCGAUAACCUGGGUUAUGAUUCUACCUCCACGUUUUACCAAGACCUAUGACGCCAGUCUCCAUGUCAGAUGACAAACCAGACUUUUUCCAGCACCAUCAGCAUGCUCCAGCAACAACCAGUUGAGAAGGACGAAUCAGUUCAGAGUUCAAGAAUUUCCCUUUACAUUGUUGUAUCCGUGGCUGCCAUCGUUCGUGUCAUAGGCUCAAUUAUUGCCUACUUAUUAAUAUUCAAAUGCAAGAAACACAAGAAACGCGUGUUUAGCGUUGCCGGCUAUCGCCCUCGAAAUUAUCCACGGAAGGGGAGAGACCUGCUGAGCUCUACUUCAUCAUCUGUGUCGACUAGCUCGACGAAUCCGCUGUUGAACAAUCAGCGUUUUCGAAGACAUGACUCGGCUUUGUCAGACGACCGCUACUGGUGGUUGUCGAAUACGCACCUUUCGGCAAUUUACGAGAAUAUCUUCGUGAAAGAAGACUUGACCGAAACGGAGAGACCAUUCCAAUAGAAGGAGAAGAAAAGUUGUGCUUUAGGGAUUUCGUCUCCUUCAGUUAUCAAAUUGCUCGUGGAAUGGAAUAUUUGUCAGGAAGAAAGUGUAUUCAUCGCGAUCUUGCUGCCAGGAAUAUUUUAGUUGGUGAAGAUAGAGUAAUGAAAAUUGCAGACUUUGGUUUAGCUCGCGACAUUCAUCAGAUUGACUAUUACCGCAAAACAACUGACGUAUGUAUUCUGUGAAAUUGUGCCAUUAAUCCUGAUAAAUAAUUUUUAAGAAUAUGAAAACAUUUUUUGUCUUUA